GACGAACGCUGGCGGCGUGCCUAAUACAUGCAAGUCGAGCGGACGAAUCGAAAGCUUGCUUUUGAUUCGUUAGCGGCGGACGGGUGAGUAACACGUGGGCAACCUGCCCUGUAGACGGGGAUAACACCGAGAAAUCGGUGCUAAUACCGGAUAACACGAAAUGUCGCAUGACGUUUCGUUGAAAGACGGCGCCAGCUGUCGCUACAGGAUGGGCCCGCGGCGCAUUAGCUAGUUGGUGAGGUAACGGCUCACCAAGGUGACGAUGCGUAGCCGACCGGAGGGGUGGAUCGGCCACACUGGGACUGAGACACGGCCCAGACUCCUACGGGAGGCAGCAGUAAGGAAUCUUCCGCAAUGGACGAAAGUCUGACGGAGCAACGCCGCGUGAGCGAAGAAGGCCUUCGGGUCGUAAAGCUCUGUUGUUAGGGAAGAACAAGUAACGCAGUAACUGGCGUUACCGUGACGGUACCUAACGAGAAAGCCACGGCUAACUACGUG
rnacentral:rRNA from 1 species